UACACUAUCACACACACACCAGCACUACACUAUCACACACACACACCAGCACUACACUAUCACACACACACUCCAGCACUACACUAUCACACACACACACCAGCACUACACUAUCACACACACACACACACCAGCACUACACUAUCACACACACCAGCACUACACUAUCACACACACACCAGCACUACACUAUCACACACACACACACCAGCACUACACUAUCACACAAACACACACACACACACCAGCAUUACACUAUCACACACCCACACACACACACACACACCAGCACUACACUAUCACACACACACACACCAGCACUACACUAUCACACACACACACCAGCACUUCACUAUCACACACACACACACCAGCACUACACUAUCACACACACACACCAGCACUUCACUAUCACACACACCAGCACUACACUAUCACACACACACACACCAGCACUACACUAUCACACACACACACCAGCACUUCACUAUCACACACACCAGCACUACACUAUCACACACACACACACACACACACACACACACACACACACACACACACACACACCAGCACUACACUAUCACACACACCAGCACUACACUAUCACACACACACACACACCAGCACUACACUAUCACACACACACACACACACCAGCACUACACUAUCACACACACACUCCAGCACUACACUAUCACACACACACCAGCACUACACUAUCACACACACACACCAGCACACACACACACACACACCAGCACUACACUAUCACACACACACACACCAGCAUUACACUAUCACACACACACACACACACACACACCAGCACUACACUAUCACACACACACACACACCAGCACUUCACUAUCACACACACACACACCAGCAUUACACUAUCACACACACACACACCAGCAUUACACUAUCACACACACACACACACACACACACUACACUAUCACACACACACACACACACACACCAGCAUUACACUAUCACACACACACACACACACACCAGCACUACACUAUCACACACACACACACCAGCACUACACUAUCACACACACACACCAGCACUUCACUAUCACACACACCAGCAUUACACUAUCACACACACACACACACACACACCAGCACUACACUAUCACACACACACCAGCACUACACUAUCACACACACACCAGCACUUCACUAUCACACAUACACACCAGCACUACACUAUCACACACACACACCAGCACUACACUAUCACACACACACACCAGCACUACACUAUCACACACACACUCCAGCACUACACUAUCACACACACACACACCAGCUCUACAC
rnacentral:lncRNA from 1 species